CUACGGGUCGCUGCAGUGAGGAAUAUUGCACAAUGGGGGGAACCCUGAUGCAGCAACGCCGCGUGGAGGAUGACGCAUUUCGGUGUGUAAACUCCUUUUAUAUGUCAAGAAAAUGACGGUAGCAUAUGAAUAAGCACCGGCUAACUCCGUGCCAGCAGCCGCGGUAAUACGGAGGGUGCAAGCGUUACUCGGAAUCACUGGGCGUAAGGACGCGUAGGCGGGUUGGAAAGUCAGGUGUGAAAUCCUACAGCUUAACUGUAGAACUGCACUUGAAACUUCUAAUAUAGAGUAUGGGAGGGGGAGAUGGAAUUAGUGGUGUAGGGGUAAAAUCCGUAGAUAUCACUAGGAAUACCUAAAGCGAAGGCAAUCUCCUGGAACAUUACUGACGCUAAGGCGUGAAAGCGUGGGGAGCAAACAGGAUUAGAUACCCGAGUAGUC
rnacentral:rRNA from 1 species